rnacentral:rRNA from 1 species
AAUACGUUCCCGGGCCUUGUACACACCGCCCGUCACAUCACGAAAGUGGGUUGUACUAGAAGUCCUCACAAAGGCCCAAGGUAUGACUCAUGAUUGGGGGUG